AUUUAAUCGUUAACAGUAAAUUAUCAAGUAUCUUCAAAUCUACCGCUAUUUAAAAUGUAUAAUUAAUUGGAAUUUGAAGGAAAAUAUAUUUCAACAGUUUGCAACUUUCAUAGUAACAUUGUCCAUGCACACUGAAACGUGAUACGAGAUUUAAUUAAUGCAUUACUUCGUUUAAUUAAUAUUAACGUACGUAAAUUUUCAAUUAUGAAACAGCAAAUAAUACAACGAAAUCCUUAACUGAUAUUAUAUUCUGUCAUGUUUGAAUGUUUCAUAUGAAAAAUAUAAUUUUGAGAAAAACGAAUGCAACGACCUAAAACAAGUGGAGGAUCACGGUAAAGUUGUUUCAUUUUUAAUUUUAUCUUGAUUAUUGUAUUAGUAGAAUUGUGGCUGCGUAAACCAUUUAUUUAACGAAUAUUAUAUUGAAACACAAAUAUAUUUUAGGUUACUUGCUAUUUGCAAUUUACGUCACCAAUUGUUAUUCCACGAUAAUUUAAUCCAUCUGUUCAUUUUCUUCAAACGAUAAUGUUACAAAUACUACAUAAAAGCAUUUCGUAUUACAAAACCUUGGUAAUCGUUAAAUGUAAUUAAGAACUGACGUAUCCAUUUGAUAUCGACAAUAAUUUUUACUUAAAGCUUCGAUAGAGGUAAGAUUCAAUCGUGGAAUUUACCUUGAAGAAAAAAACGAGACAUUGAUACUAUUAUCGUGAAGAGAAAACCUCCCGCGGCUUAAAGCUCUUUCACAAAGCUUCGAGAAACUCAUUUUUCCGAGCUUGUACGCGGCUAUCCAACCAGUGGAGAUUUCCAAGCUCGAUAACUUCUUAUUCACAUCAUUCAGUCACUCUGAAAUUCGUUAUUGACAUUAUAAUAAAUUCAUGAUAUUGAAAUCUCUUUUUUUCAUGUGUUAAUCUAGAUGCUCGUGUAAAAAUGGAAACUCUCUAAAGGGGGAAGUGAUCAUGAUUAUUACGUAAAAGUGCAAAGAUAUACGAAAUGUACACUGAAUGUGAAAAUAUACAGAAUAGAACAUUUAUUACGAUAUUCGGUAAUCGAGACGAAUUUUUGCUUAUGUUUCACUUCUUUAGUUAUUUUUAUGAAAACAUAAAUUUCCAUAAACAUCUUCAGUCUAGUGAUAACAAAUGAUGAAAAACUAUUCCAUCGAAACUGUUGGUUAUUCCAAUGUAUUAGAUAGAUGGACAAAUUUUGUCGGUUCUUCCAUUACAUGAAAUAAAAUAUGAUCGUGUUCAAUAGAAACUAAUUCUGCAGAGUAACUACAGACGUCAUACUUCAAUAAUAUAUAAAAGGACGAUGGCUUUUUUUUUAUUUUAUGUCAAUAAUCGAAGUGGGGAAAUAUCAAAGAAUGAAAUCAUGUGUGUCGUUGUACAAGUUUAAGAAAGGUAGAGGUACAAGCUUGCAAUGGCAUUUAUCCAGCGUAUGGUAAAGCUAUAAAUAAAAGAACAUGCUAGUGAUGGUUUAUUUGUCAUCGCCCUGAGAAUAUUUCGCUUCAAGACCAAUCGCAGUUAAAUGUCAAACGUACUUACUGAUGACUUCAUAAGCUCUAAGGACUAACAAUUCUCUGCAGAGGGAUCAGUUAAGAAAUAGAUGGAAAGGAGUCGUAAAAUUAAAUUGUUAACGCGAAGUAUGAGGUCACAUUUUUUAAAUAAUGGAAAAGUUCGAUGCAACUUAACUAUAAUACAACGAACAAUAAAACAUUAACACGAUGCAUUUUCUUAUGAAAUCUAAUAUGACUGCAUAAUAAGCAAAUGUAGCCUAAAGCUACUGCAGCUACCCGAGGUUUAUUUCAAAGAAAAUUGAAACGAAGUAAGUAUGCAUAGUGUUUGAAGAAUAGUAUGAGAUGCAUUUGUUCCAUUCACAUGUAAGACUGCAGAAAUGAGAAGUUGUGAACCCGAUGGAAUUAAGUAUGAAAAUUUGCUUUAAACAUCAAAUAUAUGGGUAUGGCAGUAAGGAAGAGGCAGGAAAACUAUAAACUUUUAUUGAUUGGGAGAAAUUAAGACAGGAAGGUACAUUAAACUGGUUAAUUCUUUCCCGUCCUUGAUGUUCAAUGUCUAACGAAGGAAAUUAUUCAUGAAGCGAGAUAAGAAGUAGUUAUGAAUUAAAACCAUGCGUGUGCGAUUUUAUUCCUGUGGAAGAAGUAUUAUAUGUAGAGACGAAUAGAAUGUCAGAGACGCAUGCGAUGAAUAAAUAUUAAAUCAUAUACUGUAAAAAUCAAAUAGUUUUGCCAUUCUAGAAAAAUAACUUAUAAUCUACUUGUCAUAGUAUACACUUCAACGCUAUUUAUAUAAAUUUACAAUCUUCACAAUCUCCAAUUUCUUAUAAUACAAUAAAGUACAAAAUAUGUGGCAAUAAAAACGAAUAUAAAUACAAAUGUAAUAUGUCAGUAUCAGGAAUGCAUUGUAUUCGAAGCAAAAAUCCUCUUCUAGCAGAAGAGAAUAUAGGUACGUAAUGGUGCAAUAAGCCUGAUAAAAUAUUAUUCUUCAAAUCAACAUUAAUUGCAACGUAAUAUUUUCCCAAGCCAUUCAGUUUUACUGAGUCACUAACAAACGUUUCGUAAUGGAAACAAUCGGAAUUGAACGACGCUCAUGCAUAUCAUGCAUAUUCAGGACGUAGCGCGAUAAAAAUGACGAAACAUCCCCGGUUCGACGUUACUUAUAUUCCCAGUACGUCCUACGACGAUAUAUCAACGUCGCUAUACCGUUCAACGAAUUUUUCACGCGGAAAAUUGCUUCCCCUCUUACGCAUCUUCCCGAUGUUCUUCGCAGUGCUUCCUAUUUCCAGUCGCAUAAAUACCUUCGCGACCGAAUCAGCCAUUACUCGAGCGAAACUACUGGAAACACAUCUCUGUCUCACGGUUAGAAGCAAAGUCUUUGCUAACUAAUUUACUAUCCCUUUGGAGUAAGCUUUAUGGAUAUUUGAAGUCAUCUCGCUCACACUCGUCCUAAGGCGUAUACUCAAGAUCGUGCAAAGAUGAAGAUGGGCCACAGUAUGGAAUAUAGCAUAGAGGGUGUAUGGGGGAAACAUGAAGGAUAUCCACGAUAGCGUCGUUGGUGAAGCGUGACAAAGCAAGGGUUUGCCACUCGAGGUUGGAGCUAGUGUCGAAGGGGAGUUGGAACGGUUCGUUGGACGCGGUGAGACUCCAUAUACUUCCCUCUGAGGGCUGAGGUUUCCGCGAGCGUAACGCUACCGUGUAAAACAGAUGUAGCUGCGUACUGCGUUUGAAUUUGAAAUGUUCCCUACCUCAAGUCGUAAUAUGAAGGGGAUUUACGAAAGACGUCUAACCGAGGUACUUGAAUCGAGGAUUUUAGGCGGCCGACAGAGAAUAUCUGAAGCCUCUGUAUUGGUAAUUACGCGACCCAGGUCGAUUUAUGUCUGACCUAAAUUAAAUCCUUCCAAGCGUAAAUUUAUCUAUCGGUAUAAGCGGAGGAACGCGACAUGUGGAGUGUAAAAUACAUUCUGCCUUUAAAGUGUUAUUCUGUAGAUAGCGAUAGAAGCAAGAGCGCUGUCACGUGACGAUAGAUAAAAGAUUAAGUUCUUCCGCCGUGUAUAUUAGAGUACAUUAACGGGGGAAUCUAUAAAUGUGACACAGGAAUCGAAUUAAGGAUAUUACCCGUGGAAAAAGUUCUCGCUGCUAACUCGAACCUUUUAUCGAACCCUCUCUCUCUCU